GACCUGAUAGCACAGUGGUUAGUGUGUCUGCUUCAAUUCGUCCCCGCGUUUCAUAGAUUUAAGCAGAGGAUCUCCGUUCGAUUCGGGGUCAGGUCA